GAUGAACGCUGGCGGCGUGCCUAAUACAUGCAAGUCGAGCGGUAAGGCCCUUCGGGGUACUCGAGCGGCGGACGGCUGAGUAACACGUAGGAACCUACCCCAAACUGAGGGAUAAGCACCAGAAAUGGUGUCUAGUACCGCAUGUGCUCCACGGAGUAAAGCUUCGGCGGUUUGGGAAGGGCCUGCGUCCGAUUAGCUAGUUGGUGGUAUAAAAGACUACCAAGGCGACGAUCGGUAGCUGGUCUGAGAGGAUGAUCAGCCAGACUGGGACUGAGACACGGCCCAGACUCCUACGGGAGGCAGCAGUAGGGAAUUUUCCACAAUGGGCGAAAGCCUGAUGGAGCAACGCCGCGUGCAGGAUGAAUGCCUUCGGGUUGUAAACUGCUUUUAUCUGUGACGAAUAUGACGGUAGCAGAUGAAUAAGGACCUGCUAACUACGUGCCAGCCGCCGCGGUAA
rnacentral:rRNA from 1 species